UGCACCCUCCUCUUUCUUUUUUUUUUCUUCUUUUUUUUUGAUAAUGCCCCAGUUGGCUGUUCUGCUGAUUCUCGAGAUGCAGCUGAGUGAUCUUCUUUUCUUGCUCAAGAAGUCGGGAAAUCUCAUCAGGAAUCCCUUCAACAUCAUCUUCGUCCGCUUCGAAUACAGGGAAUUCAAAAUUGGGAGAUGACGUCCGAUCAUUAUGUUCAAUGGGUUUGAGAAACAACCUGCAUAAUGAUUUUGAUAUGAAAAGCUUUUUGAAAAUCAAACAAGACAAUCGUUAUGCAGAUGAAAAGAUUGCUUUUAUUCUUGUUUUUUAAGGUUUUUUGUGAUCACC
rnacentral:lncRNA from 1 species